rnacentral:lncRNA from 1 species
GUUGUCUCAUAAGUGUCUAACAACUUAUAAGUUUUGUUUUUGUAUAACAUUGCUAAAAUAUUCAAAUGGUGUUGUCAGGUAAAGAAUAGAAAGAAGUUUUUAUACGGUCAUAAUGAUUGUGGAUGAUAUAAAGCUCCUUUUACCUCACAAACUACAUGUAGCUCAAAAUGCAAAAUGUCAUCUUGAAGAGGAGAUGAUGUAAUUUGAAAACUAUACACAUAUUUAUUAUUGCAUGAUUACUAAACUUUAAGCCUAAAGUGUUUCUAAAAGAGAUUAAAUUUGUCAUUUUCGGAUUUUGCUACCGUUAAAAAUUACAGUAUCUGCUUGACAUAAAGACUUAACAACACGG